rnacentral:misc_RNA from 1 species
UCCGGUUUGGCACCGGCAGCCCCCCGAGAGUCCUCAGCGCCUUGCGGCCUGUUAGCAACACGGGGCGGGGGUUGCGCUCGUUGCGGGACUUAACCCAACAUCUCACAACACGAGCUGACGACAGCCAUGCACCACCUGUACACCGGCCCCGAAGGGCUGCCGUAUUUCUACGGCAUUCCGGUGCAUGUCAAGCCUUGGUAAGGUUCUUCGCGUCGCGUCGAAUUAAACCACACGCUCCGCCGCUUGUGCGGGCCCCCGUCAAUUCCUUUGAGUUUUAGCCUUGCGGCCGUACUCCCCAGGCGGGAUGCUUAAAGCGUUAGCUACGGCACAGAGGGGGUCGAUACCCCCCACACCUAGCAUCCACAGUUUAGGGCGUGGACUAC